GCUCACCAAGGCUUACGGGUAGCCGGCCUGAGAGGGUGAUCGGCCACACUGGGACUGAGACACUGCCCAGACUCCUACGGGAGGCUGCAGUCGAGAAUCAUUGACAAUGUACGAAAGUAUGAUCAUGCGACGCCGCGUGGAGGAAGACGGCCUUCGGGUUGUAAACUCCUGUCAGCAGGGAGGAAGGAUAGCACUCUUAAUACGAUUGCUAUUUGACAGUACCUGCAGAGGAAGUCACGGCUAACUCUGUGCCAGCAGCCGCGGUAAUACAGAGGUGGCGAACGUUGUUCGGAUUUACUGGGCGUAAAGGGUCCGCAGGCGGAUCGGUAUGUCAGAUGUGAAAGCCCACGGCUUAACUGUGGAAUUGCAUUUGAAACUGCCGGUCUAGAGUACUGGAGGGGAGAAGGGAACACUUGGUGUAGCGGUGAAAUGCGUAGAUAUCAAGUGGAACACCGGUGGCGAAGGCGCUUCUCUGGACAGAUACUGACGCUCAUGGACGAAAGCUUGGGUAGCGAAAGGGAUUAGAUACCCCUGUAGUCCAAGCCGUAAACGGUGUGCACUGGGCGUGGGAGGCUUUACCCCCUUCCGUGCCUGAGCUAACGCAUUAAGUGCACCGCCUGGGGAGUACGGUCGCGAGAUUAAAACUCAAAGGAAUUGACGGGGACCCGCACAAGCGGUGGAGCAUGUGGCUUAAUUCGAUGCAACGCGAAGAACCUUACCUGGGCUUGACAUAUAGCUGCAUACGAUCCGAAAGGAACGUAGCCUUCGAGGGUGCUAUACAGGUGCUGCAUGGCUGUCGUCAGCUCGUGCCGUGAGGUGUUGGGUUAAGUCCCGCAACGAGCGCAACCCCUGUGUUUAGUUGCCAGCACGUAAUGGUGGGAACUCUAAACAGACUGCUGGUGAAAACCAGAGGAAGGUGGGGAUGACGUCAAGUCAGUAUGGUCCUUAUGUCCAGGGCUGCACACUUGCUACAAUGGGUGAUACAAUGGGAGGCUAAGCCGCGAGGUGGAGCAAAUCCUCAAAGUCACCCCCAGUUCGGACUGGAGUCUGAAACUCGACUCCAUGAAGUUGGAAUCGCUAGUAAAGGUAUAUCAGCUACGAUACCUUGAAUACGCUCCCGGGUCUUGUACACACCGCCCGUCACAUCACGGAAGUCUGUUGCACCCGAAGUUGUUGAUCCAACCCGUCAAGGGAGGAAGACACCUAAGGUGUGAUAGGUAACUGGGAUGAAGUCGUAACAAGGUA
rnacentral:rRNA from 1 species